AGUGAACGCUGGCGGUAGGCCUAACACAUGCAAGUCGAACGGAAGCACAGGAGAGCUUGCUCUCUAGGUGGCGAGUGGCGGACGGGUGAGGCAUACAUCGGAAUCUGCUCAGUCGUGGGGGAAAACGUAGGGAAACUUACGCUAAUACCGCAUACGACCUUCGGGUGAAAGAGGGGGAUCGCAAGACCUCUCGCGAUUGGAUGAGCCGAUGUCGGAUUAGCUAGUUAGCGGGGUAAUGGCCCACCAAGGCGACGAUCCGUAGCUGAUCUGAGAGGAUGAUCGGCCACACUGGAACUGAGACACGGUCCAGACUCCUACGGGAGGCAGCAGUGGGGAAUAUUGGGCAAUGGGCGCAAGCCUGACCCAGCCAUACCGCGUGGGUGAAGAAGGCCUUCGGGUUGUAAAGCCCUUUUGUUGGGAAAGAAAUCUUUCAGGCUAAUACCCUGGGAGGAUGACGGUACCCAAAGAAUAAGCACCGGCUAACUUCGUG
rnacentral:rRNA from 1 species